GUCGAGCGGUAGCACAGAGAGCUUGCUCUCGGGUGACGAGCGGCGGACGGGCGAUUAAUGUCUGGGAAACUGCCUGAUGGAGGGGGAUAACUACUGGAAACGGUAGCUAAUACCGCAUAACGUCGCAAGACCAAAGUGGGGGACCUUCGGGCCUCAUGCCAUCAGAUGUGCCCAGAUGGGAUUAGCUGGUAGGUGGGGUAACGGCUCACCUAGGCGACGAUCCCUAGCUGGUCUGAGAGGAUGACCAGCCACACUGGAACUGAGACACGGUCCAGACUCCUACGGGAGGCAGCAGUGGGGAAUAUUGCACAAUGGGCGCAAGCCUGAUGCAGCCAUGCCGCGUGUGUGAAGAAGGCCUUCGGGUUGUAAAGCACUUUCAGCGGGGAGGAAGGCGGUGAGGUUAAUAACCUCACCGAUUGACGUUACCCGCAGAAGAAGCACCGGCUAACUCCGUGCCAGCAGCCGCGGUAAUACGGAGGGUGCAAGCGUUAAUCGGAAUUACUGGGCGUAAAGCGCACGCAGGCGGUCUGUCAAGUCGGAUGUGAAAUCCCCGGGCUCAACCUGGGAACUGCAUUCGAAACUGGCAGGCUAGAGUCUUGUAGAGGGGGGUAGAAUUCCAGGUGUAGCGGUGAAAUGCGUAGAGAUCUGGAGGAAUACCGGUGGGGCGAGGCGGCCCCCUGGACAAAGACUGACGCUCAGGUGCGAAAGCGUGGGGAGCAAACAAGAUUAAAUACCCUGGUAGUCCCCGCCUGUAACGAUGUCGAUUUGGAGGUUGUGCCCCUUGAGGGUGGCUUCCCGAACUAAACGCUUUAAUCCACCGCCUGGGGGAGUACGGGCCCCAGGUUAAAA
rnacentral:rRNA from 1 species